rnacentral:sRNA from 1 species
UCCAAAGGACAUGCGCGUGAACUCGAA